UAAAGAUUUAUGGUUUAUAAGUACGGAGAAUAGCAAUAAUGUUCUACCUGGGUUGAUGGGCUUUGGAGGAUUAUUUUUCUUAAGUGGGCAGUCUCUAUGGAAAUGUAUUUGGUUGGGUAUCUGGUUUGUAGAACAUAUCUUGCAGGGUAUGGAGGCUGGUUCAUUGAGUUGUGGGGUUCUUGCUGGUGGUGAGUUGCUGCUGCUGUCCUGGGAAAAGGCUGGUAUUGAUGAGCUUGGGAGGAGUUGGAGUUAAAUCUUCUUACUGGAUUAAAUGGUCUAUUGUUUGUGCUUGUAGAGGGUUGUUGGAAAUCUUCUUCUUGAUUUGUGGUGCAUUUUAUUUGGGUUGUAAUUUUAAACUAAUCUGAGGGUUCUUGGACUCUUGCAGCUAUUAGGUAUUUUUUGAGGUGGUUUGGCAUUCCAUCUGUUAGUGCCUCUAAUAAAAGUGUUUUUACUAGAUUGAAUUUUUUGGUUAAGGCAGAUUUUUCCUUAAAAUAUUGUUCAAGAUCAUCUUUUUCAUUAUAUUUUAAAUUUAGAAACCUACUAAAUAAAUUUGAAUCCUUUAUUGUAAAUAUGAUGUUAAUUUUUGUUCUAAAUCCCUCCAAUUAUCAAUAUCUUGUAAUUCUUCUAUGUAAUAACUGAAUGCUUCUCCCUCAAGAUAAUUUGCUAUAUUAAUUAUUUUAAAAUCUUCAUCAAGAUGUUUCUGCAGACAUUUUUUGUUAAAAACGUUCCCGAGGUUGAUGCCGAUGCCGGAGGCCCGUUUGAAGUCCUCGAGGACGGCCACCACCUGCUCGAACUGCUUGUCGCGAUGGAUCAGGAGGACAAUGGCGUAGGCGAUGGUCGACUCCAGGCGACGUAGCAGUGGCCCCGUAGCGAUGCUGAACAGCGCUGUGCUUACGGCGCAGCCCUGCCUAAGGCCGUUGUGGAGGAGGAAGGCGGUGGUGUGGUAUCCCCCCCCCAGAUCGUCGCGCCCGCCCCGGCGUACAAGAUCUUGAUCCAGCCUAUGAAGGGAGGCGAAGGGACAUCAGGGAUUCUAGGAAGCCGCAGUCCAGGGAAUUGAAGGCGGAUUCAAGGUUAACCCCCACGACGGUCAGUGGCGAGCCCAUAGCAGUUGCCUCCUCAACCGCAUCGGUGACCUGGGCGAUGUUCCAAGAGGGGGACCUCCCGGGAACAUCCAUGGAGCAGUAAUGGCUACCCAGACCUCGAAGGUCCACAAGCCGGCAUGCGUAGCAUGCACCCCUGCUGCCAUAUAGCCACCGUGCCAUAGGAAUGGUGCAUUCUCCAUGCACCGAGCGGCCAUUGUUUGGCCCCUCGCGCCCGCCAUUAUGGUCUGGCUCCGUGGGCGCGACCAGUCAACCCACAGGCGUCUCCGAGAGUUCAUGGCAAGGUUGCUGUCCUAGCCCUCCCGUUCAGACUUGGUCUAAUCCGCCCUACGCUCCAAUAGGACUCCUCCCCCCUUUGGCCCUCGUACCCUUUAGUCACAGUACUCCUGAAUCUGCCGUCAAAUCAAGACCUCUGAGGUUCCAAGGUUGACGCGGGAACACCACGCGGAGGCUGGAGGGUGGUACUACUGUGUGUACCCCUUGGUUUUCCAUGGCGCACAACACAGAGCGAAGACCCAAGAGUUUCUAGACCCAUCCUUUCAGCCUUACCAGUACUCCACUAGGUCAUCGGCUAGCACACUCUUUUCUUUUCAGCCUUACUAGCACUCUCCGCCAGAUCAUCGGCAAGCUAUCCACUGUAGUCAACUGCGGCAUCUAACAGUUGAGGAAGAUCUCACUAGCGAUAUCAUGAGCUCUUUCCAAUAACUUCCAGUGGGAUUUCAGGAGCUCCAGUUCAAUUGCUCCUUUAACCCUUCUACUCUCCCCUCCCCUCUUGGGACCCUUGGCAGUCCACUAUAAAGUGUUUGGCGUUCACCCCAGGGCUCCCACAUACGCAUUUGUCGUCCGCUUUAAUACCAAACUGAGAGGAAACGGGCCGUGUCCCGUAAUCAUCCUGUUCAGUUUGUGUGAGAGGAUCUGACCGUUCCUUUUUGGAUCUCCUAUUCAUUUAAAGGCUUCCCGACCGUUUGUUUCCACCCAUCUGUCCUUCCACAACCCAUUUAUAUGCGCUCGGAUACUCUUGAAAACCUCUUUCUUUGGAAUUGGGGUCACCACAUCCCUUCCAGACCAGCAUCCCUCUUUUGCCAGUUUAUCAGCCAAUUCAUUGCCCUCAAUUAGAGAGUGCCCCUUGACCCAGUACAAUUCGGGGGGCCUAUCCAUUUCACUUAGCAGAUCCGCUACUUCAUGCGCCAUCUGUCCCUUCUCCAAGCAAAUGGAGAUGAGGGCGGACAUACAAUCCGAGUAGAUUGCCUUAGGAGGCAGACGGUCUCUCCUACACCAGAUCAGAGCCUCUCUGAUCGCGACCAGUUCUGCUGAAUACACCCGCUCAUCGUGCCUUAGUUUCAGUGUUUGUCGGCCCACUACCGAUCUAUCACUGAAAAUGGCGAUGCCAGCCCCAGUUCUCUUACCAUACUUGCUCCCGUCUGUGAAUAUCUCCAUUUCUUUACCAGACGGUAAGCCCUCUGACCACCUCCAUCUAGGUUCCCAGUUCACGUCCUUAUCUGGGUCCUUCGCCCAUUCAAGCUCCUCAGGCGCAAUGCCCAAAUCGUUCUCAGUCCUGUCGACCCAGAUAAGCUGCCUCAGUUUCUCUUCCUCCAGCCUUAGAGAAACAGGAGUCAGAUCCGAAAUCACAGUAAAGCCUCUGUACUAGUAGUACAGUACCCCCAGUGAUCCUCAGAGUUGCUACUCUCUGCACUGACUCUAAAGUUGUUCCGACUUUCCUAUCGCGGUUCCUCUUCCACCACGCUCUUGAACCGUACAGAAGAAUCGGCUCAACCAGCUGAGGUAGAGACUCCUGAAAAUCUCCCCUUCCCUGCCCCCUCUCAGAAGCGCUAGCCUGCAUAGUCUCGAUAGUGCAGACCUAGCCCUCAACCCUAUAUCCUUGGCGUGGUCCAUCCAGCUCAACUUAUUGUUCACCACUACACCGAGGAUUUUCAUGUUUGACCACCUGAAUCCUCUCACCCCCUAGCUGCAAGAUGGGAUUGUGGUCAUAUUCGACGCCAGUCCGUUUGGCUCGAACAUCUCGCGAUUUAAAACUCUGGGCCUUUGUUUUGCCCACGUUAAAUUUGAGCUUCACCAGUUCUGCCAACCCUUUAACCUACCGAUGCUUUUAUUGGCUAGAGCCUCAGCUUUUCUUCGGGAUUUCUCACUUAUAAUCAGGUAGUUGUCAUCAGCAUAGGCUACCAUGCAGGCGCCUGCUGGAAGUUCCUUGCGGAGAAUAGUGUCAGCCACUACAUUCCACAGUAUGGGACCACAGCAGGAACCUUGAGGGCAGCCCUUUGACACUAUUCUGUGCAUGUCCACUGCACCUACCUCAAUUGAGACCCGCCCUGUCUCGUAAGAAAUCCCUUAUUAACGUCAGUAGGUUAAAGGGACACCCUUUCUCAUCGAGGGCAUUCACAACCAUGUUCCAAUUUGGGUUGUCGAACGCGCCGCGAUGUCGAAGGAGAUCUCAAUCACCCAGUUUCCCUUUGCGACUCCUUCCUCGAUCUUGCCCAGUAUCCCCUCCAAGCAAGUGGUCGUAGACAGUCCCUUCCUAAAGCCAUGUUGGGAACUGGAAAGGUGUCCGCCCGAUUCUAGCCACCUUGUCAGCCUUUGUGCCAGAAGACUGUCCAUUACCUUUCCCAGGCAUGAUAGGAGAGACACAGGCCUAUAGUCCUUUGCCGUAGCGCCCGACUUGCCACUUUUUUCGAGUAAAGCAAUCCUCGCUGCCUUCCAAGCCCUCGGGAACCUACCCAGUUCCAAGCAGCGAUUGUAUAACCUGGUGAGAAGUGACCCAUAUCUUCUCACCAGAGCCUUCACGAUGGUGUUGUCAAUGCCAUCGGGACCAAGGGAUUUUCUGUUCCCAAAUUUGAAGGCUGUCCUUUUGACCUCCCUCUCAGUGAAGAGUGGAUCCAUACGCCCAUUUCUUGGUAACACAUCCUCGCAUUCCAGGUGCCCCACCCCAAAGUUCACGUCCAGAAUAUGAGACAGCGUGUCCGAGAGGUCAUGUGCGCGCGAUCCAUCCUCCUUUCUUAACAACUUCAGGGCCUUAGGAUUCCGAAGUUUCUCCAUGGCCAACUUGUAUGGUAAACCAUACUUGUCGUCCUUCAGUGUCCUGCUACACUGAGCUCUCCAAUGACCUCUGUGUGCUUUCCGUGUCCUCUUCUUGUACUUGGCCAGUUCCGCCCUGUACCGAGUCCACUUCCCCUCUCUUUCAUUUUCGCUACACUUCUGCGCUCUCCUCCUUAAAGCCCGCAUCCUUUUCCGCUCCACCAGGGCUGCUUUUUCCUCUUAAAGGAAAGAACUGUCCCAGUUCCAGGUCCAAGACCUCCGCUCGUAGUGAUGAUGUCAAGGUGAAGCCCGUCCACAGCUCUCUCCAGGCUAUCACCAUCCACCGCCAGUUCUAGGUCAUUUUCAAGUUCAGUGUUGAACUUUUUGAGAAACCUCUGAUAUUCGCUCCCCUGACGCUGUACCUGGGAGUCCUCUCUACAGAGACCGGGUUUGCUGAACUCUUUGCUGUGAAGCUGAUUAGCUUGUGAUCACUAGCAUCAGUAAACUCGGCUUUCCAAGAGUCUCUAACGAGUCCACUUCCCCUAUUUAGGGUGAGGUCAAUCACGCUUUCACUUUCGUUUCGCGUGCUGAACGUCGGAGUGCCCCAAUUGUUCCAUACCUCCAGACCCAGAGAUAUUAUUAGGUCCUAGAUUUCUGCCCCUGGUGCUGUCUUCUCUAUCUCUCAGGAAGAGUGAGCGGCAUUAAAAUCGCCAGUUAUUAGCACGUUUUCGAUCCUAACAUUUCUAACCAUUUGACUCAGCAACUCAAGCACACCUUGCUCCGGUUCAAUGGGUGAAAUGUAUACAGAAAUGCAUAGCAGCUUGAGAUCCGCCGUCUCAACCAUAACUGCUAUUACGCCCCUCCAGGAGCCAUACUCAACGCAAAGAACGUCACCCCUGACCAGGAUACAAGCCUUCCUACACCCACCAUAGAAUGUCUUGUACCUUGUAUCUACCCACAUUUUGUUCCUUGAGAUGUAUGGCUCCUGCACCGACACCACAUGAAAUCCCUCCUCUUUCAUGUGUCGGUUCAACUCCUCGUUCCCCCUUCUUGCCCUAGCUGCGUUCAGCUGGGCAAAACUCCACCGAUAUGGUGCCAGUGUCACUAUGAUCGAUUCUGGAGAUGCCAGUUCCUUACUCCACAGGCUUUGGAUCUUAGCGUGUGAUCCAGCCUGUACUUUUUCUUAGACCUUUCCUUAGCCUCCUUACAGAGCCAGCACCCUACUGUCUCGAGGCAAGGUUCUACCCUCUCAUGCAACCCUUCGCACUUAUAGCACCGCCAUGGGUUCCUACACUGUGUCGCCAGGUGACCCAUGCCCUUACAGUGCUGACAGAAAGGUACCCUCAUAUUUACCUUUACUGUCACCCUUCUAAAGCCAAUGGCAAGUUUCUUUAGGCCUUUCAGCCUGUUGCCAAUCACACCAUUUGUCACCAAAACCCACGUCUGGGUUCCAGUACCUCUGGUGUAGACCUUAAUGAGCCGGUCCUUCUCCCCCAGUUUGACGCCGUUCUGGUGUCUGAGGAAAUCCGUAUUUCCUCACUGGAGUGUUUGGGGUCCGCUCCCAACAGAACCAGCUCAAAAGGCCGCUCCCUCAAGUCCCUACAUUCGGCGAUCACACUCUCCCUCAAUAGUGGGGUCGCUUUGACCUUGUCUUCCGCCUUUAGGAAGGUCAAGGCCACCCCCGUACCCUUUUUAAUCUGGGUCAUCUUGUAGUUUAGAUGCCCAGAUUCUGCGCCGAGCCUCUUAAUAACUUCCAUCAAGAGGUAACCUUCGGCAUCCUUUUUUUUCUCAACAACGAGCGUCCUCGUUGUAUCCCAUCUGUUGGAUCUCCCCUCUUUCGCCUUUGUUGGUCCUUUGGGAAGGGCCCUCACGCUCUCCUUAACCAUUCCAUCAAAGGUUCCCUUAUCACACACACAUACAAAAGCCUUUAAAGACACGCUGGUCUUAUAGAGGAUUCUUCCCGAGAUUACAAGAGAGAUAGGCCUGUGAAAGUGGGGAAUAUACAGAAGAAGAAAAAGAAAGAUUAUGUAAGUAUGAUAUAUUGGUUCCCUCGUCUGGUAUCAGGGCAAUCAGCGCACUGUUGAGUUCCCUCACCUCGGCGAUGGAUCCCUCCAGGCUCCUGCACCUGUUCAGUAAGGUGGCGAAGCAGGUUUCCAGAAGUACCAUCUGCUUCACCGCCACCCUCUUGCCCUUUUUCAAGGUCUCGAAGGUGGAGGUAAGGAUCAGAGGCACUUCCUCCGCGUUGCUCGGGUUCAGCCCUUCUACCUGGGUAGACCCCGCCUCCUCCAGUGGCGUCUGGAGUCCUUUCAAGACAGCUUCCUCCACCGUCAGAGGAGUGUCACCCGGGUCGUCUGAAGCACGCGUCCACUCGCGUACGUUCUUCAAGGGUCUUAGCUCCUUAGAGGGCCCUUGGGUAUCGUUUUCAUGGGCUGUAGUUAUUCACAUUAUUAAUAAGAGGGGUGCAUGGGAAGUUAUUAGACCCUCGGGCUGGCCCGUCAGCUCCGAUAAGAUCGUUCACUCCACGGCAAGAGGGGUCUUCCUCAGGUGUUACCUGAGCCUCAUUUACUGAUUUAUUUUGUGCUGACAUUAUUAGGGGUGUAACCUGUGAGAUAAUGACACCAGCCGCCACCUGUUACCAAGGCUGAACUGGGUAUAUCCGUCUUUCCAGACUUGUCAGACUAGCUAUCAGCAUUGGCCACGCUUUUGUUAGAAACGUGCUCAGGACGCACCACGGGAAGGUGCUGAUCAGCAUAUGUUGGUAGCCGUCAAGCCUCCCUACUUUGCGCAAUCUGCAACUGGGCGUCACCCCUGUCACAGACUCCUAUUAGCAUCUCUAACUCUUCUACUAGAUCCACAUUGAUCUGUCGUGAUCAGUUAGCUCCAGCCACCCUCUUUCAGGCUGCUGGGUACAGACCGCUACUACCCGCGAGUCGGGAGCCGAGGACUGCGGAUGCCAGACUCAUAGUCCUAGCCACUCUCCGUGCAGUCAGAACUAAGGCCCCGGGCCCACCUCCCGGGGACAGUGUAGAUCUGGCAGUCUUGCACCAGGGCUCGUAGGUGGGGUCUGAGGCGCCGGAGGAGAACAGCUGCCAGGACCCUGUAGUCAGCCGAGGGCAACGAGAUGGGCCUGUAGCCAUCGAGGCCGCAAUCGCUGCGGGCCUUGGGUAUCAGGCAGAUGGAACUGUGCCGCGUGUUAGUGCUUCCUUAUUGCAUGGCGUCCGUCCUGUCAAUCUGUUGCAGUCCAAUUCCUCUAUCAGCAGGCCUUCGAGUGAUCUGACUACUGAGGGCAACAUAAGCUUGGCCGUACAUAUAGAGCUUCGACCCCAAGUAAACUACUGCGUGGUCAACAGUGCUUCCUUGUGUACUGUUGGUGCCCAAGAACAAGACAGUUGGCGACAUUCUUUGUUUCACGGUUCCAUUACUAUGGUGGUGUGCCUUUUGAAGGGAUGUAUUUUUUUCCAAAUUCAUAGUGGUAGAAGGAGAAUUUUCCUCUUGGAUUGUAGCUGCUCCUAGAACAGUUACAGGAAUUGCUACGACAAAAAAAAAAUUGUAGAUAAAAUAACCAAAUACCUAAUAAUUUUAGAUGGACUGGUACAUGUUUUCACUGCACUUCAGACAAGUCUGCCCAUUCAAUCUCUUAGUUCACAUUUUAUAUAAUAUACAAUAUUAUAUUACAAUAUUGGCCUCUAAGUCAAUGCCAAAAUGAAUGCUCUAUGAAAGCAACAAAUGAAGGGCCGAAAACGCUCAUGAAGACAAUAGAAGACAACAUAUUUAAAGGAGCAUCUCCAACGGAAAACAUCAGUUCCUAAUGUUAGGAAGAUAUCUUCAUAAAGGUUCAAGAGAAUGCUCUAUAAAGACAACAAAUUGAAAGUUGUUGCGCGACCUGCACCCCCUUGAGGCACCCCUGGAGCAGAUGGCCACCCAGACCUUACGGUCCACAAGCCGGCAUGCGAAGCAUGCCCUUAGCUGCUAUCUUGUUCCACUCAUAAGCCAAGUAACGGCAUCCAAGCUGGUGCUUGAAUAUUGUACCUGGAAAAACCACCUCCCAGAUGACGAGUCUGGAAGAAUUUAUAUACCGGUGACCUUUAGUCACAGCAAAACAGUAAACUGUCUACUGCGUCCAGCUGGGACCACGGGAAGGCGGCCACCUGUUGACCCUGUUCAUUCGCAGCUGAGAAAGAGCUCAGCUGCCACAUCGUGAGCUUUCUCGAGAUGCUUGCUGUGAUUUCUCAGCAGCUCGCUCUCGCCCCUCGCCCUCCUUCUCUCUUCCUGCACGCCUACCACCCUUGAGCAAUCCAAGACGUAGUGGCGUGCGUCUACAUCCCUCUCUCCACAGACGCAAUCAGGAUUGCUCUUUAUCUUGAAUCUGUGGAGACUCCUGGGGAAGGGCCCAUGUCCCGAAACUACCCUAAUUAGUACCUUACAUAGGUACUUGGGUAUUGUUACCCAAUUUGAUACCUCCCUCCCCUUGUCGCUGCUCUUCCAUCUGUCCAACCAUAGGUCCUGGACGUGCCCCCUGAUCCUAUAAACUUCCUUUUUGGUCACAGGAGUCCUCACAGAUCUACCUCUAAAGCACCCUGCUUUAGCGAGCCUGUCUGCAAAUUCAUUACCUUCGAUGAGGCUGUGACCCCUAACCCAAUGGAGAUCUGGAGCCCGCGAUAUCAUCUCCAGCUCCUGGAUUUGAUGCGCGAGUUGCCCCUUCUCCAUAUUGAUGGCGACCAGGGCCGACAUGCAAUCUGAAUAGAGGCGGUCAGGGCUCAAGUUCUUCUCGGCACACAUUCUGAGGGCUUCCCUGAUCGCAACCAGCUCGGCUGAAUAGACCAGUUCGUCCACUCUGAGUGUUACGCUUUCUUGGAAGAUCAGCUCCCCAUUGGUGAAGAUCACAACCCCAGCUCCAGUAUUGGUUCCAGACUUGCUCCCAUCAGUGAAGACCUCCGUACCAAUCCCUGUUGGCACUCCAGGACUCCCAAUUCCACUUUGGCAGCCACUGCGGAGGCUUCCUUGGGUCCCUCUUCCAUUCCAAGGUACCCGCUUCAAGGCCCAGGGCGUCUUCCCUAUCUUCCCAAAUUUUCUGUCUGAUGGCCUCCUCCUCUAGUUUCAAACCCAGGGGAAUAAGCCCAGCGAGGACCAACAAGGCCUCCGUGCUGGUAGUGCGAUAUCCCCCUGUGAUUCUGAGUGCCGCUGUCCUCUGCACUCUCUCUAGAGUUGUUGCCACCUUCUGAUCUUUAUUUCGGCGCCACCAGGCCCUAGAGGCAUAUAGUAGGAUUGGCUCGACACAGGAAAGGUAGAGGUUCCUAAAGAUAGUACCUCCUUGCCCCCCCCUGUUGAGAGCUAACCGUGACAGCCUGCACAAUGCCUGUCUGCCUCUCGCCACCAUCUCCGCGUGGUAUUGCCAUCCCAACUUAUCAUCAAUAAAACCCCAGGAUGGUCAUCCUAUUUACUACCGAUACCCUCCGUCCUUCCAUCCGGAUAGCCGGCUUAUGUUCCCAUCUGAUCCCUUUUCUUUUGGUUCUUAUGUCCCUAGACUUAAAGCUGAGGGCUUUAGUUUCAGCGACAUUGAACCUAAGGCCAGAGUCGUGGGCCCAGUUCGCGAGGAUUUGGAGAGAGUUUUCCACACACUUCUCAACCUUCGCUCUCAAAGCAGCCUCAAUGAUGUGGAACUGGUCGUCGGCAUAGAGAACCAGCCUGGCUCCCUCAGGUAGCUCCUCCUGGAAAACAGUGUUUACCAGGAUGUUCCACAGAACAGGUCCACAGCAGGAGCCCUGGGGGCAACCCCUGGCACAUUUUCUUACCAACUUCAGUCCAUCAAAACUGAGGCUAACCCGUCUAUCCCUCAGGAAGUCACGAACCAAGCUACACAAAUUAUUCAGAAAACCCAUAUCCAUCAAAUUUCUCAUCAGCUUGUUCCAGUUCAUGGAAUUGAAAGCACCAUCAAUGUCCAGGGCCACGAGAAGAACCCAAGCACCCUUAUUUAGCCCUAUCUCAACCCCCUCUAAUACUUCGUUCAGAGCUGUGGUUGUCGACUUGCCUUCCCUAAAACCAUGUUGGGAAGAGGAAAGGAGCUCAUUACUCUCUAGCCAGCUUCAGACGCUGAGCUAGUUGGCUAUCUAGGACCUUACCUAGACACGCUAGUAACAAAAGCGGACGAUAAUCAAUAGGGGAAUUACCCUUUCUACCAGACUUUUCCAGAAGCACUACUCGGGCAACCUUCCAUACCUUAGGAAAAGUACCAGUGUCCAGGCACCUAUUGAAUAACCUGGCAAGAAGCGAUGGGUGCAUCCUAACCAGGGCUUUCACGAUCGUGUUAUCGAUUCCGUCCGACUCAGGAGAUUUCCUGUUCCCGAACUUGAAAGCCGUCCGUUUAACCUCCAUCUCAGAAAAGGGCGGAUCCACCAAACCACAAGUGGUCAGCAAAAUCUCAUCCUCUGGCACUUCGUUUCCAAAAUGCCGAUCCAAGAUGAGGUCCAGGGUCUCCUUAAGGUCCCGGGUCUUGAACCCAUCUUCAUCUUCAAGCAGCCUCAAGUUAGCGUAGCUCCUUAUCUUACCAGAAACAACCCUGUAAGGGAGAACGUAUGGAUUUAUUUCCAGUACGGUGUUGCACUGCUCCCUCCAGUGUCUCCUCUUCGCCCUCUUGGUGCGUCUUUUAUAUCACGCCAAGAUUUUCCUGUAGGCUAUUCCCCUCCUGAUCCUUUCUUCGCCUACGCUGUUCUGGAAUAGUUUCCUCAUGGCCCUGACUCUCUUUCUCUCGAUCUCUAACUCCUCUGUCCACCAAGGCUGUUUAAGCCUUUUAAAUGUGGUAACUUUUCCAGGCCCCAGCGCUCGACACGUGUUGAUUAUAUCCUGGUGAAGCUCAUUGACCAUGCUAUCAAUAGCAAUUCCGUCAACAGCUCCAGUCAGGCUACCCUCAAGCGUGCAAACGAACCGGCGUCUGAAUCUUUCAAGGUUAGGCCCCCUGAUACAGAGGAGCUCUCUCCACUGAUGGCGGUUCCACAUCACAACUGGCUUCAAACCUGAUGAGUUUGUAGUCGCUUACGUCCGUGGGGUCCGUUUCCCACCUCAAACGCCGCAUCCUGCUUGUUCUUGCCAGGAAGAAGUCUAUUAUGCUUUCACCGUUUACCGUGGCAAACGUUGAUUCACCAUAGACGUUCCAAACUUCCAGACCCUGACCGAUAACUAAAUCGACCAGAGACCUUCCUUUGCGAUUUUCCUCCCUGUCCCCAAACAGCUGGGUGCGCGCGUUAAAAUCCCCGCCAAUCACAAUCUUGUGCCCUUCCUUCUGGACCAAAAGGUAAUUUAGGAAGUCCAGCCUACCGAGAUCGUUGUCCUGAGGUGGUAUGUACACAGAGAGGCAGACCAAUUUUAGAUCCGCCGCCUCGAUCUGUACAGCCGCCGCCCCCUCCCAGGACCCACAUCCCAGACAAGGAAGGUCUCCCCGGACCAGUAAGGCAGCCUUUUUGCACUCACUAGAGAAGAAACUAUAUCGAGUAUUUAGACCCAUCCUCCCAUCAUCCUCCAGGUACAUCUCCUGCACCUGAUAACGUGAGGGUGAUCACUUUUAAUGAUCCGGUCUAGCUCCUCGGAGCUCCCCCUCGAAUGGGCGCAAUUUAGCUGCACAAACCUCCAUACCUCCUUAUUUGGCCCCUCUACCAUUGCCUCCCAUUCACAUACCAGGCCUUUACCGAGCACUGCGUACUCCGGGGGCGAUGAUCAGUCAUACUUCCUGCCGUACCUCUUAUUGGCCUCUAAGCAGAGCCAACAUCCCGGCCUCAUGUCGCAACCCUGCUCUGGGGAGUGUACGCCCUCGCACCUCCCACACCUCUUAGGGUGUUCGCAGGUUCUUGCAAUAUGACCGGCCCUGAGGCACCUGAAGCAGGUCGACACCGCGUCGUUCACCCUGAUAGGUACCAUCCUUGCACCUAUUUUCAACCUCUUCUUGCCCAAGAGGAAUUUCAUGGUGCCUCCUUUAAGCCAGAAAUGACCCAAUUCGUGGCGUAGGGCCUCCUUGUUCUCUUUUGAUACAAUCUCAUAUAUCCUUCCAAGAAGUCCCCACACCCCGAAUUUUGGAGCACCACCAUUUCUCUUAGCAUCCCCUCUUUAAUGUCAGAGUUGACACCUAAGAGGAUCAGCUCCCUCCUGGCCCUCUUGAGGCCUCCAAGCCUCAGAGCAGGCACCCUCUCUAUAGCCUCCAUGGCCAGUUUCCUGUCCUCGGGGUUCUUCAAAAUGAGGGCCACCGCACCCCCACCCCGAAUUAUUUUGAGGUCAUAGCGGUUCCCAGGAAUGCUACCAGCGGUGCUUUUCAGUACCGCGAGCAUUAACCCAGACCCUGCUCCCUCAUUCCACUCAACUACCAGGGUCAGAUCCUCGUUCCAUCUAGGGGGGCCUUUGACCUUUGGAGGUUCUGGCCUGGUACUCCUAGCCGCCUUGGGGGGAACCUUGUUUUCCCUGGUCCCUGUCUUCUUUGGGGGUCCCUACUUGGUGGACCUGGCUGCCUUGGGGGGCCCCUUUUCCUCUUCAGUCCUGGACUUCUUUGGAGGUUCCGGCUUGGUGGGCUUGUCUGCCUUGGGCGGUUCCUUGUCCUUCUCAGCUCUGGUCUUUCUUGGAGGUUCCGGCUUGUUUGUUUUCGCCGCCUUAGGGGGGUCCUUUACUUCAUCAGCCCUGAUCUUCGGGGGAGGAGGCUCUUUCUUCUCCUCUGUGGGCUUCGCUCCUGGUGGGUCCUCUUUCUCAUUUGCCGACUCUUCUGUUCUUCCAUCCUCCUCUUUCUCGUCGGCUUCCUGUCCCUCUUCUUCCUCUUCUUUUCCCUUUUAUCUUUUUCUGCCAUCUCACUGUUCUCAGUAUGAACAGGCUGUCUUGGGGGAGAUGGCAGAGCGGCCUCUUUGGUCCUAGUUGGUGUUUUGACCAGGACCCCCUCUACUUCAGGGCAGUAACUCGAGGUCGUUGCCCUUGUGGGCUCUUCCGUCUUCUCGUGGUGGGCGGGCGACUCUCGCCUAGGGAGGACUGGGGAAGCGUCAUGGGGAGGACAUACCUCAACCUCAGCUAUUUUUAGCGACUCUGCAAGAGCCGCUGCCACUCCUCUCUCUAUGCCGUACUGCAGGGUGGUUGGACUGAGGAAUUUCUCCUCAAGCUUCCGCUUUUCCACCCGCAGGAGUUCGAGCUCUUCAAUGGCUGCCCUAUGCUUAUUGAGGAGCUUAUCGAAGCAUUGCUCGAGGAUGUUCGGGUGAACGUUCCCAACUUUCCUCCCUCGCCGUAUGGUGGCUAGGGAGUCGUGGAAAGCCUCCGUAAGCUCCGAACUCUUCUUCUGGGGUGUCAACGCCUGGUUUAGGAAGUCGUUAAGGUCGUUGAGGUACCCUGGCUUGGUGAAGUCUUUCCCAAACCCUGACUCCUCGACUGUUGGGCGAUUCUCGCCUCAGAAGAAGGAUCAAUCAGCAUAAAAGGAUCCAACGGGACCUCCAUGUUGAUGAUAUUGGAGGGCCCUUGGUCCCGGGUAUCUGGGGCAUCAGAUCCCUGGGGGCCUUUCGGACCUCAGUCCUAGCAGGGCGUGCGUGCUGACCCAUCUCAGUAUGGGUGUCGGCCGUUAGCUCGACUUCAUAGGGGGUGUUGGCCGUUAGCUCAACUUCAUUUGGUGUACCGGCCGUUAGCUCGGCUUCGCUAGUCAUCUUUCUUGGGCUUACUUUGUUGUAUUUCAUGAAAGAUGGUGUUCCAGUUCAAUAAUGUCAUGGUUACCACCGGUCCCCAAGGUAGCCAUCACAUAGCUGUCUUUCCAGUCUGUCUGACAAGCUGUCAAGUUUAGCCGUACUCUGGUUAAGAGACGCCCAGGGCGCACCAUGUGGAGGUGUUGAUCGGCACAUGUAGGUAGCCGUCAGGCCUCCCUACUUUGCGCAGUCUGCAACUGGCGUCGAUGAUGUCAGCCCGGGAAGCCCUGAUCUGCUGGACCAUUGUUGUUCUUGCCGCAUGUGGUCGUCUUCGCGGGGUUGCGCCGGUCCUUCCAGAGGCGCUGAUACCGCUGGAGCGCUGUUCAACGGCGCGGCCUGGCGACUCCCUACAUCUUCGUUUGGAUCGCACCACGGUGAAGCCUUCUUCACCAGAUUCCGAGGCCUCCAUUCGUUCGGCCCAGUUCGCGCAGCGCCCACAGUGCCGCUUGUUGAAGGCGUGGCAUCAGCGGCGCAAGCUGCGGGAAAAUUUGCAUGCUGUUUGUCUGCGGGUAAAUUUGCAUAGGUGCAGUUUGAAUUUUUCAUUCUUGAUUCUUCAACUUGAUGAUUUUUUGCGGAUAUCUCCGCAACAGCUUUGUUAUCAGAGCCGAGCCUUCCAGUCUCAUGUACAGUUGUCACAGUCGGGGCAUCUACAUGGCAGUCACAGACAAUGCGUUGUCGACGGCGCGAUACGCAUAACGCGCACGAAAAGUUAGAAAUUUUAUGCAUAGAAGGCAGUACACCAUAACUAACAACAAAGCAAGGAUAACAGUUAGGAUAAGAAGUUGUGUUUUCAAUCCAGCGAUGUCAAGUUGGCCGCCAGGGUGAGAUUCCAACCAUUGCAAAAUCUCCGACAGGCAGUCUGUACCUGAGCACGUAGGAUGAGAGCUGAAAACCAUUAAGGCAGUAAGAUUAUAGCUUAAGUAGCUAGUAGUGGGAAUAUGACAUCCGCUACUUAAAAUCGAUGUACAGCUCGAUGUGGGCUUUCAGCCAAUAUAAAAUUCGUUGUCUUCCGCGACAUUCCAAUGCUCGCCAGAGGCGAAAACGGCGAAGCUAAAAAUAGCGUGGCCGCUCGCCUCGUGUAUGUAUGUAUAUGUAUGUAUGUAUAUGUGUAGCAUACAAUCUUCGUAAUAAUAAUUCUUCGAGAAAGCAAAGAAUUUGCUCGACAAGUAGCUCUCGUUUGUGUUUAUCUCGUGGCCAAAGUUUGAUAUGGCAUCCGACACUUUCUUCUUUAAGAAUUCAGUAUACUCCUCAAAAGUGUCAAAUCCUACAGAUUUGGGAUCAUCCUUUAUGUAUUGGGGAAUCCCAAUAAUGGCUCUCAGGUCGUCGCCUUUAACUAGUAUCCUAACUAUAACAGGCAACCCUCUAAAUGCCGCUUGAAUCUGCCCAUAGUACACCUCCAUCCAAUCGAGUUGGAGAUGGCCCUCUACUCCCCCGUCCUGGCCAUCCCAUUGGAUGAAGAUGUCUUGGUCAGCUAUAUAAAGAGGGUUGUCUGAAAAGGGUACUGGGAUUUUGAAAACGCCUCGGUCCCCAUCACUGCGUCGUGUAUUUGCCGGAGGACAGGCUCACAAACAGCUACUCUGAAGAGAUUGUAUGUAUAUGUGUAUGUAUGUAUGUAUGUAUGUAUGUAUGUAUGUAUGUAUGUAUGUAUGUAUGUAUGUAUGUUCAAUUUAAGUGUAGGAUUUUUACUAUUAGCUUUUUUACAAUUUUCUGUUUUAGUACAUGAUUUAGAAAUGUGGCCCUUGCUACCACAUUUCGCUCAAGUAUUUUCCGAUUCUUUACAGUUUUUAUAUUUAUGAAAAUCAAGACUUUACUCCCUCGCCGUAUGGUGGCUAGGGAGUCGUGGAAAGCCUCCGUAAGCUCCGAACUCUUCUUCUGGGGUGUCAACGCCUGGUUUAGGAAGUCGUUAAGGUCGUUGAGGUACCCUGGCUUGGUGAAGUCUUUCCCAAACCCUGACUCCUCGACUGUUUGGCCGAUAAAGGAUCCAGCAUAAAAGGAUCCAACGGGACCUCCAUGUUGAUGAUAUUGGAGGGCCCUUGGUCCCGGAUAUCUGGGGCAUCAGAUGUGUUGCGGGCGCAGGUGCCGGCUUCCUUGACAAUGACAAUGAAACAGACUUUAUUGACCGUUCAGUCAAUGGUUACACUCAAAGAGUCUCAAAGGGAAAAUAU